rnacentral:lncRNA from 1 species
UAAAGAUUUAGCAAGUUAUGAUGGAAUAUGAAGUACCUUAUUUAGCUAAGUGUAAUCCACAGGUCACCUUUUUUAUGGAAUCUUGGGGGUGUGAUUAAAUAAUGACCACACGGAUACAAGCACAUGAAGAAAUAUGUAUGAAAGGCUUGAACUGAAGAUCUUCCCUAUGUACCUGCACUCACUACGUAGGUGUUUGGUUUAUCUGGACCUUUUCAAAAAACUUAACCAUUUCCAAUUAAGGUAAAACCAAUUUCAGUGUUCUUUGCAUGAUCAGAAAUCUUACUAGAGGAAUUACCUACAUUUAAGUGUGAGCAUUUAAUAGUUCAAUAGUUUAACAGUUUAUUCAGAUAAAACACUUAAAGAGAAAAGGAUACUACAGUCUAGUUAAUCUCCAAUGUCCACAUAUAAAGAUUUAGCAAGUUAUGAUGGAAUCUGAAGUACCUUAUUUAGCUAAGAGUAAUCCACAGGUCACCUUUUUUAUGGAUCUUGGGGGUGUGAUUAAAUAAUGACCACACAGAUACAAGCACAUGAAGAAAUAUGUAUGAAAGGCUUGAACUGUAGAUCUUCCCUAUGUACCUGCACUCACUACGUAGGUGUUUGGUUUAUCUGGACCUUUUCAAAAAACUUAACUAUUUCCGAUUAAGGUAAAACCAAUUUCAGUGUUCUUUGCAUGCUCAGAAAUCUUACUAGAGGAAUUACAUACAUUUAAAUGUGAG